UACGGGAGGCAGCAGUGGGGAAUAUUGCACAAUGGGCGCAAGCCUGAUGCAGCCAUGCCGCGUGUAUGAAAAAGGCCUUCGGGUUGUAAAGUACUUUCAGUCGUGAGGAAGGUGUUAAGGUUAAUAACCUUAGCAAUUGACGUUAGCGACAGAAGAAGCACCGGCUAACUCCGUGCCAGCAGCCGCGGUAAUACGGAGGGUGCGAGCGUUAAUCGGAAUUACUGGGCGUAAAGGGCACGCAGGCGGUUAAUUAAGUUGGAUGUGAAAUCCCCGGGCUUAACCUGGGAAUGGCAUUCAAGACUGGUUAGCUAGAGUCUUGUAGAGGGGGUAGAAUUCCAUGUGUAGCGGUGAAAUGCGUAGAGAUGUGGAGGAAUACCGGUGGCGAAGGCGGCCCCUGGACAAAGACUGACGCUCAUGUGCGAAAGCGUGGGGAGCAAACGAGGGAUUUAGGAUA
rnacentral:rRNA from 1 species